GCGCGCCACGACGCGCUCCACCUGCACGACAGAGUAAAAACGGCCCUGGCGCAGUUCAACGACUUUACAUAAGUGACCGAAAUUGUAACGAAUAAUGCGUAAAAGUGACUUGUUUCAUACGACGCUUAUGAAUUAGUCCUGAUUUAGUGAGUUAUCGAGUCAUAACAGUUAACUAAUGGGUAAUCUACAUAAUGACGCUAAGUAUUUAAUUGUAUAUAGCUAAGUUGCUGUUAUCUUAAAUGUGGAAUGUUAUUAUAGUUAUUUAUUUUCUUUUCUCAUGUUAAAGAGUCGUACACUUAUCACCUUUUCUUCACUUUCAUUUUUAUUAAUUACGGGCGAUUACAUAAAAACUUAAAUGUUGUUGAUUAACAUCGUUAAUAUUUUAUUUUACUUGUGUUACCAUUACCUAGACCUUAAAAAAAUCGCAUUGUAAAUUCCAUUUACAUAUUAUACGAGUAUAAAAGAUGUAUUCUUGUAUUCAUCAUAAUGUCAUCGUUAGAUUUUUAAAUAAAUUGAAAGGCGCCUAACCUCGACGUCAUCACGAAUCUAGCUUAAUGUAGUUUGACUACAAUAGAUAACAAUUUAUAGAUAUUUUUUCGGCUUAUUGACAAUAUAUAAUAAGAUUAAGUACGUACGGUACAGGAAAGAAGUGAUACUGAUAAAAGUGAUUGUAGCUUUUGAUAAAAUAGGGGAUGGCUAUUAGCGCUGGUUGCUGAGUGACAAUCCUUGGAUACAAAAAAAUAAACGUUUUUCUUUAUAUUUAUGUCGUAAAAAUUUUUCGUUAUUGAAAAAAAUUAAAUAAAAAAAUGUAGAUUGUUUGUGGUCGGAAGAUGUUACUAAUAUAAAAUAGCCUUUGAUGACACAAUAGAAUCUCGAAUCAUUUUUAAGCUUUAUGAAAUACAUAAUUUUUAAGCCUUUACAUGUAGUUAAGAAUUCAAUUUUCGUAUGCAAUUAACAAGUUUUAGUGCUGACAUGCGUUUUUAUGAAAUUGAAUGGGAAUUAUAUUAUUUGUAAUAUAAAAAAAAGACAUUAAAUAUCUGUAAUGAUUCUUGUUGGUUAUUGUCGUAGAGAAAUUGACCCAUUCAAUAAUGGGAAGGUAAAUAAAUAAAAAAUUGAUUUAAUAAUUGCUAAAACGGGAUAUUUACCAUGUUUUUUAUUUUCAUUUUACGGAGCUCGAUAAUAUUUUGAUAUUAUUAUUGAUUUUGAUAUUAUUGAUUUAAUAAUAAAUAAAUACUCAUAUAUUGGUGUUCAAACUGUGGUACUGUAUGUUUUCAUUUUUUACAUUAAACUGUAAUAUUUGUACUGUGUGCAAGUUCUGCCAAAAAAAGGCCUAACGUAAAAACAAGAUUUAUUUGAUAAAUUGAAAAAAAAAAUUGAUAUGAAUUUUUUUUUAAAAAAUACUUUUAAAUUAUUGAAGUCCAAUGAGAAUAUUUUUAAAAAUUCUAAUCAAAUCGCCAUAUGUAUUUCUAAUUGACUUUCUAAUGUUAAAAUAUAUUUGCGAAGGUAAAAUAAUGAUAUUUUUCCUUUGUUUCAAUAGUAUGUUGUGUAUAAAAAAACCUCAUUUUAAAAUACUAUAUAAAAUAUAAAAAAAGAACUGAUAGCACUUUAAUUUUCAACUAAGUAGAGUAAAGCCAUGAUUUAAAAAAUGUAUGAAAAAAUUAGCCAAAUUUUUAAAAUAAAUAAAUGUUUGCGAAAUAAAGAGUUGAAACUUGAAAGCUUACUGUUUAUUGAAAUUUCUUUCGGGUUAUGUAGAUAUAAAUGGAAAUUAAUUAUUAAGAUAUUGAAAAAUUUAUUACAAUCAUAUAAUCUUUUAAAUGUAUAUGUAUUCGUAUAUUUUUAUUUCGCGCCUAAUUAAUAUUCUUCACUCUUACUAUCAAAUGUUUUUAUUUAUACCAGUUAAGUUUGUUAAAUAUGAAUGGAUAAAGAAAAAUCAUGGUUGUUUUAUUUACCUACAUAUUUUGAGACAAAUUAAACUGCAUAAAUUGUUUGUUAUUAGUGGUCAGUUCCAGAUAUAGUAUUAGUUAUAACUGGAAAAGUACCUCAACCUUAAAAAAUACCAAAAAUAAAUAAUAUUGUUUUUAAAUAGUAUUAUUUUCUUGGUGAAUAAAAAUAAAUAAAUAAAUAAUGGA
rnacentral:misc_RNA from 1 species